GGAGCCUUCUAUAAAGAUAAGAGUCCAG
rnacentral:piRNA from 1 species